rnacentral:rRNA from 1 species
GAUGAACGCUGGCGGCGUGCCUAAUACAUGCAAGUCGAGCGAACAGACGAGGAGCUUGCUCCUCUGACGUUAGCGGCGGACGGGUGAGUAACACGUGGAUAACCUACCUAUAAGACUGGGAUAACGUCGGGAAACCGGAGCUAAUACCGGAUAAUAUAUUGAACCGCAUGGUUCAAUAGUGAAAGACGGUUUUGCUGUCACUUAUAGAUGGAUCCGCGCCGCAUUAGCUAGUUGGUAAGGUAACGGCUUACCAAGGCAACGAUGCGUAGCCGACCUGAGAGGGUGAUCGGCCACACUGGAACUGAGACACGCUCCAGACUCCUACGGGAGGCAGCAGUAGGGAAUCUUCCGCAAUGGGCGCAAGCCUGACGGAGCAACGCCGCGUGAGUGAUGAAGGUCUUCGGAUCGUAAAACUCUGUUAUUAGGGAAGAACAAAUGUGUAAGUAACUAUGCACGUCUUGACGGUACCUAAUCAGAAAGCCACGGCUAACUACGUG